CCUUGUCGGGUAAGUUCCGACCUGCACGAAUGGCGUAACGACUUCCCCGCUGUCUCCAACGCAGACUCAGCGAAAUUGAAUUCCCCGUGAAGAUGCGGGGUUCCCGCGGUCAGACGGAAAGACCCCGUGCACCUUUACUACAGCUUCACACUGGCAUCAGGCCAGGCAUGUGCAGGAUAGGUGGCAGGCUUUGAAACAGGGACGCCAGUUCCUGCGGAGCCGUCCUUGAGAUAUCACCCUUGCCUUGCCUGAUGUCUAACCGCGGACCGUCAUCCGGUUCCGGGACCUGUGUGGCGGGUAGUUUGACUGGGGCGGUCGCUCCAAAAGUAACGGAGGCGCGCGAUGGUGGGCUCAGGUUGGUCGGAAAUCAACCGUCGAGUGCAAUGGCAUAAGCCCGCCUGACUGCGAGACUGACAAGUCGAGCAGAGACGAAAGUCGGCCAUAGUGAUCCGGUGGUCCCGCGUGGAAGGGCCAUCGCUCAACGGAUAAAAGGUACGCCGGGGAUAACAGGCUGAUAC
rnacentral:rRNA from 1 species